GACGAACCACACAAACGUUAUUCGGAAUUACUGGGCUUAAAGGGGGCGUAGGCUGCGCAGCAAGUCGGGUGUGAAAUCCCUCGGCUCAACCGAGGAACUGCGUCCAAAACUACUGUGCUCGAGGGAGACAGAGGUGAGCGGAACUUAGGGUGUAGCGGUGAAAUGCGUUGAUAUCCUAAGGAACACCCGUGGCGAAAGCGGCUCACUGGGUCUCUUCUGACGCUGAGGCACGAAAGCGAGGGUAGCGAACGGG
rnacentral:rRNA from 1 species